AUUGAACGCUGGCGGCAUGCCUUACACAUGCAAGUCGAACGGCAGCACGGAGCUUGCUCUGGUGGCGAGUGGCGAACGGGUGAGUAAUAUAUCGGAACGUACCCAAGAGUGGGGGAUAACGUAGCGAAAGUUACGCUAAUACCGCAUACGAUCUAAGAAUGAAAGUGGGGGAUCGCAAGACCUCAUGCUCCUGGAGCGGCCGAUAUCUGAUUAGCUAGUUGGUGAGGUAAAGGCUCACCAAGGCAUCGAUCAGUAGCUGGUCUGAGAGGACGACCAGCCACACUGGAACUGAGACACGGUCCAGACUCCUACGGGAGGCAGCAGUGGGGAAUUUUGGACAAUGGGGGCAACCCUGAUCCAGCAAUGCCGCGUGAGUGAAGAAGGCCUUCGGGUUGUAAAGCUCUUUUGUCAGGGAAGAAACGGUGAAGGCUAAUAUCCUUUGCUAAUGACGGUACCUGAAGAAUAAGCACCGGCUAACUACGUGCCAGCCGCCGCAGUAAGAC
rnacentral:rRNA from 1 species